AUAAGUGAAGAAUAUGACGGUAACUUAUGAAUAAGCACCGGCUAACUACGUGCCAGCAGCCGCGGUCAUACGUAGGGUGCAAGCAUUAUCCGGAGUGACUGGGCGUAAAGAGUUGCGUAGGUGGACAAGUAAGCGAGUGGUGAAAUCUGGGGGCUCAACCUCACAGACUAUCACUCGAACUGCUCGUCUCGAGAAUGGUAGAGGUAACUGGAAUUUCUAGUGUAGGAGUGAAAUCCGUAGAUAUUAGAAGGAACACCAAUGGCGUAGGCAGGUUACUGGACCAUUUCUGACACUGAGGCACGAAAGCGUGGGGAGCGAACGGGAUUAGAUACCCCGGUAGUCCACGCCGUAAACGAUGGAUACUAGCUGUUGGAGGUAUCGACCCCUCCAGUAGCGAAGCUAACGCGUUAAGUAUCCCGCCUGUGGAGUACGGUCGCAAGACUAAAACAUAAAGGAAUUGACGGGGACCCGCACAAGCGGUGGAUCAUGUUCUUUAAUUCGAUGAUAAACGAUAAACCUUACCAGGGCUUGACAUCCCGAGAAAGCUUCCGAAAGGAAACUGUGCUUUAUUGAACUCGGUGACAGAUCUUGCAUGGCCGUCGUCAGCUCGUGUCGUGAGAUGUUUGGUUAAGUCCAUCAACGAGCGCAACCCUUGUGAAUAGUUGUAUUUUUCUAUUCAGACUGCCCCGGCAACGGGGAGGAAGGAGGGGAUGAUGUCAGGUCAGUAUUAGUCUUACGUCCUGGGCUAGAAACGUGAUACAAUGGCCGGUACAAUGCGCAGCGAAGCUGCAAAGUGAAGCAAAUCGCAUCAAAGCCGGUCCCAGUUCGGAUUGGGGGCUGAAACUCGCCCCCAUGAAGUCGGAAUCG
rnacentral:rRNA from 1 species